UAAUACGGAGGGUGCGAGCGUUGUCCGGAAUCACUGGGCGUAAAGGGCGCGUAGGCGGUUGCGUAAGUCAUCUGUGAAAUCCCGGGGCUCAACUCCGGGGCUGCAGGUGAGACUGCGUGACUAGAGCACAGUAGAGGCGAGUGGAAUUCCCGGUGUAGCGGUGGAAUGCGUAGAUAUCGGGAAGAACACCGGUGGCGAAGGCGGCUCGCUGGGCUGUUGCUGACGCUGAGGCGCGAAAGCGUGGGGAGCAAACAGGAUUAGAUACCCUGGUAGUCCACGCCGUAAACGAUGGGUACUAGGCGUCGGGGGGAGCGACCCCCUCGGUGCCGUCGCUAACGCAGUAAGUACCCCGCCUGGGGAGUACGGUCGCAAGACUG
rnacentral:rRNA from 1 species